CGGGAAUCUUCAUUAAAUACGUAUUCAACCCCUCAAUACAUGUUAGAAUCACCAUUAGCAGCAAUAACAGCUGUGUGUCUUUCUGGGUAAGUCUCUUAAGAGCUUCCCACACCUGAAUUGUGCAACAUUUGCCCAUUAUUCUUUUUAAAAUUCUUCAAGCUCUGUUAAAUUGGUUGUUGAUCAUUGCUAGGCAACCAUUUUUAGCCAUAGAUUUUCAGGCAGUUUUAAGUCACAACUGUAACUUGGCCACUCAGGAACAUUCACUGUCUUCUUGGUAAGCAACUCAUCUCCCGAUUAACGAUUAAAAGCAUAAACAUAACAUGAUGCAGCCGUCACUAUGCUUGACAGAGUGGUACUCAGGAAUGUGUUGUAUUGGAUUUGCCCCAAACAUAACACUUUGUAUUCAUGACAAAAAGCUACUUUGCCACAUUUUUAGCAAUAUUACAUUUGUGCUUUGUUGCAAACAGGAUGCAUGUUUUGGAAUAUGUUUUAUGCUGUACAGGUUUCCUUCUCACUGUUUCAAUUAGGUUAGUAUUGUAGAAUAACUGCAAUGUUGUUGAUCCAUCCUCAGUUUUAUCCUAUCACAGCCAUUAAACUCUGUAACUGUUAAGGUCACCAUUGGCCUAAUGGUGAAAUCACUAAGCAGUUUCCUUCCUUCCUGUCAACCGAGUUAGGAAGGAUGCCUGGAUCUUUGUAGUGACUGGGUAUAUUGAUACACCAUCCAAAGUGUAAUUAAUAACUUCACCAUGCUCAAAGGGAUAUUCAAUGUCUGCUUUAAAAAGAAUGUUUACCCAUCCACCAAUAGGUGCCCUUCUUUGCGAGGCAUUGGAAAACCUCCCUGGUCUUUGGUUGAAUCUGUGCUCGACUGAGGGACCUUACAGAUAAUAGUAUGUGUGGGGUACAGAGAUGAGGUAGUCAUUCAAAAAUCAUGGUAAACACUAUUAUUGCACACAGAGGGAGUCAAUGCAACUUAUUAUGUGACUUGUUAAGCAAAUGUUUACUCUGCAAAAACAAAGGGGUUGAAUACUUAUUGACUCAAUACUUUUCAGCUUUUGAUUUUUUAUUAAUUCAAAACAUUUCCAAAAACAUAAUUCCACUUUGACAUGAUGGUGUAUUGUGUGUCGGCCAGUAACACAAAUAUUAGUUUAAUCAAUUUUAAACUCAGGCUGUAACACAACAAAAUGUGGAAAGAGUCAAGGGGUGUGAAUACUUUCUGAAGGCACUGUAUGUAAAUUGGUGAAAUGUAAUUUGCUCAAGGCCAAAUAAACUGAAUGUUUGGCUACCCC
ensembl:lncRNA